UACGGGAGGGGGCUAGCGUUGUUCGGAAUUACUGGGCGUAAAGCGCACGUAGGCGGCUUUGUAAGUUAGAGGUGAAAGCCCGGGGCUCAACUCCGGAAUUGCCUUUAAGACUGCAUCGCUAGAAUUGUGGAGAGGUAAGUGGAAUUCCGAGUGUAGAGGUGAAAUUCGUAGAUAUUCGGAAGAACACCAGUGGCGAAGGCGACUUACUGGACACAUAUUGACGCUGAGGUGGCGAAAAGCGUGGGGAGCAAACAGG
rnacentral:rRNA from 1 species